GAUAGGUCCUCAGAGAUCUUGUUUCAGCUUCUGCAGAGAGCAUUUAAAAGGAAGCUCUGAUACCAGAGGCUGGAUGGAAUGGUGUCCUCUGGACCUUUCUUAUAUUGGGAUGUUGACAAACCCGGCAUCUUGCUUGCCUUCAAUCAUAGAAGUGGAGGACUGGAAGGGACCUUGAGAGGUCUUCUAGACGAGUCCCCUGCACUCAAGGCAGGACUAUGUAAUACGUAAUUGGUCUUCUGAAUUUACAUUUAAUAGCUUAGGCCACAAGUUAUUGUAUAUACUUGUGAUAAAGAUUCAUCAUUUUUGAAUGCUUGUUGAUUAUCCCAAUAUGGCAUGGAGAAGACAGCUUUUGGUGGCAGACUCCAUCUAUCCAGCCUGGUGAACUGUAUACAAGCCUCUGGUUGUGAAGGGGAUGGGUAAUUUACAAUGGAGAAUUCUUCACAGAACUAUUGCCAUGACUGUGUUUGUGCAUCAUUUGAGUCUGGAGGUUUCCAUGUCAUGUCCUUUUUGUGACAUGGAGAAGGCUGUUUUUUACAUGUUUCUUACUUGUUCCAAGUUAUAACCCUUAUUUAUUUUAUUUCACAAUAUAUUUAUUUUUACUGUUAAGUAUAGGGUCACAAAUAAAUCUGUGGGAUGCCUAGCAAACUUUAUUUUGGGUCAAGCACAGGUGGCCUUUUCAAAAAGUAGACAAUGUAAAUUAUUUGGUAGAGGUUGCUGAUGCUCUUCAGUUUUAGAUUUUUAGUGGUUUUACGCCUUCAUGUGAAGUUUAGCUAUUAUACUUUCAUAAGCAAUUUGGGUCAAUGCAUUCAGUGGUGGGUUAUUGGAAAUGCACUUUGUACUG